AGUGAACGCUGGCGGUAGGCCUAACACAUGCAAGUCGAACGGCAGCACAGUAAGAGCUUGCUCUUACGGGUGGCGAGUGGCGGACGGGUGAGGAAUACAUCGGAAUCUACUUUUUCGUGGGGGAUAACGUAGGGAAACUUACGCUAAUACCGCAUACGACCUACGGGUGAAAGCAGGGGAUCUUCGGACCUUGCGCGAUUGAAUGAGCCGAUGUCGGAUUAGCUAGUUGGCGGGGUAAAGGCCCACCAAGGCGACGAUCCGUAGCUGGUCUGAGAGGAUGAUCAGCCACACUGGAAGUGAGACACGGUCCAGAGUCCGACGGGAGGCAGCAGUGGGGAAUAGUGGACAAUGGGCGCAAGCCUGAUCCAGCCAUACCGCGUGGGUGAAGAAGGCCUUCGGGUUGGAAAGCCCUUUUGUUGUGAAAGAAAAGCAGCAGGUUAAUACCCCGCUGUUCUGACGGUACCCAAAGAAUAAGCACCGGCUAACUUCGUG
rnacentral:rRNA from 1 species